rnacentral:rRNA from 1 species
AUGAACGCUGGCGGCGUGCCUAAUACAUGCAAGUCGAGCGCACGGACGAGAAGCUUGCUUCUCUGAUGUUAGCGGCGGACGGGUGAGUAACACGUGGAUAACCUACCUAUAAGACUGGGAUAACUUCGGGAAACCGGAGCUAAUACCGGAGAAUAUUUUGAACCGCAUGGUUCAAAAGUGAAAGACGGUCUUGCUGUCACUUAUAGAUGGAUCCGCGCUGCAUUAGCUAGUUGGUAAGGUAACGGCUUACCAAGGCAACGAUGCAUAGCCGACCUGAGAGGGUGAUCGGCCACACUGGAACUGAGACACGGUCCAGACUCCUACGGGAGGCAGCAGUAGGGAAUCUUCCGCAAUGGGCGAAAGCCUGACGGAGCAACGCCGCGUGAGUGAUGAAGGUCUUCGGAUCGUAAAACUCUGUUAUUAGGGAAGAACAUAUGUGUAAGUAACUGUGCACAUCUUGACGGUACCUAAUCAGAAAGCCACGGCUAACUACGUG